rnacentral:rRNA from 1 species
CCUACGGGAGGCUGCAGUGAGGAAUAUUGGUCAAUGGACGAGAGUCUGAACCAGCCAAGUCGCGUGCAGGAUGACUGCCCUAUGGGUUGUAAACUUCUUUUAUAUGGGAAUAAAAUGUUCCACGUGUGGGAGUUUGUAUGUACCAUAUGAAUAAGGAUCGGCUAACUCCGUGCCAGCAGCCGCGGUAAUACGGAGGAUCCGAGCGUUAUCCGGAUUUAUUGGGUUUAAAGGGUGCGUAGGUGGAUUGUUAAGUCAGUUGUGAAAGUUUGCGGCUCAACCGUAAAAUUGCAGCUGAAACUGGCAGUCUUGAGUACAGUAGCGGUGGGCGGAAUUCGUGGUGUAGCGGUGAAAUGCUUAGAUAUCACGAAGAACUCCGAUUGCGAAGGCAGCUCACUGGACUGCAACUGACACUGAGGCUCGAAAGUGUGGGUAUCAAACAGGAUUAGAUACCCCGGUAGUC